rnacentral:rRNA from 1 species
AUUGAACGCUGGCGGAAUGCUUUACACAUGCAAGUCGAACGGCAGCACGGACUUCGGUCUGGUGGCGAGUGGCGAACGGGUGAGUAAUGUAUCGGAACGUGCCCAGUCGUGGGGGAUAACGUAGUGAAAAUUACGCUAAUACCGCAUACGAUCUAUGGAUGAAAGCGGGGGAUCGCAAGACCUCGCGCGAUUGGAACGGCCGAUAUCAGAUUAGGUAGUUGGUGGGGUAAAGGCCCACCAAGCCAACGAUCUGUAGCUGGUCUGAGAGGACGACCAGCCACACUGGAACUGAGACACGGUCCAGACUCCUACGGGAGGCAGCAGUGGGGAAUUUUGGACAAUGGGCGAAAGCCUGAUCCAGCCAUUCCGCGUGCAGGAUGAAGGCCCUCGGGUUGUAAACUGCUUUUGUACAGAACGAAAAGGUUUCUACUAAUACUAGGAGCUCAUGACGGUACAGUAAGAAUAAGCACCGGCUAACUACGUGCCAGCAGCCGCCGUAA